rnacentral:lncRNA from 1 species
GACGGCCCUCCCUCUGUCUGUGGAGUGUGUUUCUUCCCUGAAUAAACCUUCUUUCACUUUGCUGUGGCUCACUCUUGAAUUCUUUCCUAUGCAAAGCCAACAACCCACAAUUGGCAGCCAUCCCAUGGACUCGGACAUCCAUCCUCUCCUGCCCCACUCUGUGCUUAAUUUUCAACUUUCUGUGUCUCAUGUUUUAGCACUGUAUAGAGUCCAGUAGUAGAGUAUCUUCAUUUCAAGUCCAGGAUGUCCAGAAGCAAGUAUUAAAGCAGCAGUGAUGUUGCUGGUACUGCUAAGAAAUGUCACGCGAUAACAAUGGCAACAAAAAUGAAAAUAAUUGAUAAGAGUGGAGCAAGGUGAAACGAUGGAGGCCUAGCAAAAGAAUGAAGAGCGGCAAGAGGAAGAAGAAAGAACUGAAGAACCGAAGAGACUCAUGACACAGGAAAUGGCAGGGGGAUUUUCUUCAUUCGAGGAGGCACUGUUAGCUUUGGAGGCACAGGACCUGCGCAUAGAACGGGACAGGAAAGUUUGCAUGAGGCCACCAUUCAGAAUGCAAGCCAGUGCUACUGUGUCCCCUAUGAUGAGAAAAAAAGAGCUAUGACCUAGUUAUCACUGGAUGAUUUUUUCAAGAGGGUAGAGAGAGUUGAAUCCAGCAACAAACCAGAACCUGUGCAUCAAUGCAAGGCAUGAGUGAAAUUGCAGCUUGAUUCCAUUUCCUGUUGCUGACAACUGUUCAGCUCUACCAUCUCCCGCCUCCCCGCCCUCCUCCAGUCAGUAACUCUUCUUGCCUGUUCACUGAUGCCAGCUCCUGUAUGCCAGCUGUUAUACUGCACUACUUCUUGUACUUUUCAAGCUACUAUACUAUAUUUUCUCCUUUCAUUUUGGCUAUUAAUGUGCACAGCUGAAUUGAAGUCGAGACCUCAUUGGCUUUUAAAUACUUCAGCGGAACUCCCAGCUGUUAAUAAUAGCCCACGUCUCUCCCUUAUCUUUGAAGGCUUGGAUGCUGAGUACUCAUUCAUUUGAGCUUAAGUGGGCGAUUAUGAUUGGAGGAACACACCAAGUCUGGGGAAUGCAGGAAGCUGUCAGGCCUGGCUGGGCCUUGCCUGGGGCAGUGUGCUCAGUCUUGUCUCCCUGUCUUUGUGGUCCUAGUUUAGUAGCCGCCAAGUCAUCUCUGAUGCUCUGAGACCCCACGCAGUGUAUUCCAUCAGCUGCCCGUCUUGGUUCCUACUAAAAGCCAUGUUCUCAACAAAUCAGAGCAUAGGAUGGAGCCUGCCAGAACUGCGGUGGCCAAAAACCCAACCAGAUGCUGAGCUGCUUGCAUUGUUUUCCCGCUAAAAGUGCCCCAACAGACUCAGGCCCCCAGGCUAUAUUGAAAGGCCCUAUACCAUUAAAACUACAGCAAGAAGACACUGGGGAAAGGGGAGAAUUCAGGCACCAGGGUCUUGCUGCCCAACUGCCAUUUUAAAUUCAUUGAUUCAUUAAAAAAAAAAAAAAAACACUUAUUAAACAGGGAGUUCAACCUGGUACUCUGUGACAACUAGAGGGGCGAGAUGGGAUGGGGUAGGGUAUGGGAGGAAGGUUCAAGAGGGAGGGGACAUAUGUAUCUCAUGGCUGAUUCACAUUGUUGUAUGACAGAAAGCAACACAACAUUGUGAAGCAAUGAUCCUCCAAUUAAAAAUAAUUUUUUAAAAAAUAUUUAUUAAAGCCCCUCUAUUUUCCAGGCACUGGAUACUGGAGAUAGAUCAGUGUUAAUUGUGCCCUCCCCACCCAAUUCAUAAAUUGAAGUUCUAACUCUCAAUGCCUCAGAAUGUGCCUGUUUAGAGUCAAAAUUCCUUUAUUGAGAUGAUUAAAGGAGGUCAUUACAGUGGGCCCCAAUCCAACAUGAGUGAUGUGCUUAUAAGAAAAGGAAGAUUUGGAUAUAGACAUUGACACCAAAGGAAGAUAGUGUGAAGACGCUGGGAGAAGACAACUAUCUAUGAACCAGGGAGAGGCCUGACUGGAUCCUCCCUUUAUGCCCUUUGGA